GUGAGCGCUUUACAAAGUCACAGAAACUUCAGGUUCCAGGUGCUAGUGGGUCAUUUUUGGGUGCUGUAAUGAUGAUACAUCAUUAUAAUGAUUUAGACCAUAGAAUAAUAGCGUAUAAAUGUAUUUCUUCCUCCUCAGUCUCAGUAGUUUGUGCCUGGAUCGAUAUGACGAGGAGAGAGCGACCGCGCAGGAUUACCUAAUCUGAAACCAGAGACGACAAGAGAAAACAAGCCAAAGCGAGCGUGAGAAAAAGAAAAGCACAUGAUAGAGUUGCAGCGCGUCAAUCACGAGCCUCUGGACGAGCCGCUGAGCCCGAGGUUUAACUGCUGCCAACGCCGACGAGUCAAUUACAGGCCGGAGAGGAGAGAGAAUGUCACGGACACACGGACUCUGGAGCAGAUUAACCUGAAAAACAAGCUUUUUCAACUGUUUUCUACUCAGAUUUAUUCUCAUUUAUAUGAUAACAUUCAUGCUGACGUGGAUUAUUUUGUGUAGAGGGAAGAUGUCUUCUUCUUCUUCUUCUUCCUCUUCAUCUUCUGUUACCAGCGUGUUACCAGCCUGGACGAGUGUGUGAUGUGUUCCAGGUGUGUGUGUGUGUGUGUGUGUGUGUUUGAUUGACUGACAGGUGUGUGUGACUCACAGUCAGCAGACUUUUGUGCGCUUGUUUUUAGACAAACUUUAAAAUUGUUUUACUUGUUGCUGGUGAAAGACUCGCGUGUCGCCCAGGAGACGUCUGAACGUCCAUGAGGUGAAGUAAAAGUGGGAUUCAAGUGUUUUAUUUUGUCUGAAAGGUGAUUAUUCAGAUGUGACACAGGUGGUUCAGGGGAAUCUCACUGCUUUAAACAACAGGAGACGAGGGUCAGAAUCUUCAUCUCUGAGGGAGAAAACCAGCAGAUUCCUCUUCGGACUCACAGGACAAAGCACUGACGGAGGACAAAGUCCAGCGUCUUGUUUCUCCGUCUGGAUGAAGAAGAGGAGUGGGGGUUUUGGAGGGAACCGGGUGGCGAAGGUCACUUUGAUGUGACUAUAAAG